ACGGAAGGCAGCAGUGAGGAAUAUUGGUCAAUGGGCGUAAGCCUGAACCAGCCAUGCCGCGUGUAGGAUGACGGCCUUAUGGGUUGUAAACUGCUUUUGUUCGGGACGAGAAUGAGCACGUGUGCUCAAAUGACGGUACCGGAAGAAUAAGCACCGGCUAACUCCGUGCCAGCAGCCGCGGUAAUACGGAAGGUGCAAGCGUUAUCCGGAUUUAUUGGGUUUAAAGGGUGCGUAGACGGUCUGGUAAGUCAGUGGUGAAAUUGGCUCGCUCAACGAGACAAUUGCCAUUGAUACUGUUGGACUAGAAUGCGAUCGGCGUCGGAGGAAUGCGACAAGUAGCGGUGAAAUGCUUAGAUAUGUCGCAGAACACCGAUAGCGAAGGCAGCCGAUGAGGUCGCAUUGACGUUCAGGCACGAAAGCGUGGGGAUCGAACAGGAUUAGAUACCCUGGUA
rnacentral:rRNA from 1 species